CUGACCAAGGUGACAAAGGCGAUCAGCUUUCAAAAUUUAUGGGGGCCGCAAUAGUUAGGGCAAAUCAUUUCAGCCUCCCCAAUCGCCUCCAUCUCCAUUCUCGUUCUAGACUCUGAACUUGCCUUCUCUCUCUACAACUGCAAACUACAAAAUCUACAAGAAUCAGAAGUUCGAAACCCAUAUAUUUCAGUUUAUCGAUCAGUAUGCAAGAAUCAAAAGUUCAAAACCCAUAUCGGCAUAUCAUUUCAGAUUGUUCAAAAAAUCAAAACCCAUAUCUUUCAGUUUCCAUCGCCCACUGUUCCAGUUCGGGUUCGCCAUUCGCAAGCUUCAGCCGCUGUCUCUCAACUCUCAAGCUUGCCCCCCUCUCUCUCUGCAACUGCUAACUUGGUUAGCAUCGGGCGUUAACAUUUAGCAAGAAUAAGGUUCAAGAAAUAUGCCUGCUCAGUCAUCAGGUAACAAACUCACUUUUUUUAAAAUUUUAAUUGACAUUUUUAGCAAUUGGUUAAGUUUAUUUAUUCAUGUUUUACAUACUAAUUUUUUUUAUUUUUUAUUUUAUUUUAUUUUUUAUUUUAUUUUAUUUUUUUGCUUCUACAUACAUAUAUAUAAUAUUGUUAUGAUGUGAUGCUUGAACAAUUUAUUAAUAGGAAUUAAAGACUUGGAAGUUUAGUUUUCAAUUUCAGAAUAUAUGUUUUACAAGUUUAUUAACGCUUUAAAAACUUUUUCUCUUUUGUCCUAAUAAUAUAAGUUUCUUUUCUGAAAGAAAAGAUUUGAUGGGAAUGGGUGGAGUUGGCAAAAAGAAAACAGGUAUGUUUUUUUUGCCUAGCUAAUUGAAUUAUAUAAAUCCCUUUACUGUUGUAGCAGUGAUGUUGGUUUUAAAAUGACCAAUUAUGAUAGGAAGUCUCUUUUUAGUUUAUCUUAAUCAAACGUCUAUUUAUGCAAGAGGAUUAAGUGAUUCUAGAUGAUGAUUCUGGAUGAGGAUGUUAAUAUCAACAUUGUGAGGAUGUUGAUGUCAACGUUAACUCUAGUGAUGACAACCGAUGAUGUUGAUAAUAUGUUGAUGCACUCAAAUAAAGUCAAAGCACUUAGAAUUGAAGGAAAUUUAGAGUUGAAAACAUACUAUUGAGCAUAGUGUCUAAUUCUUUUAGUUACAAGAAUCUUUGGUCACUUCACACACGAUUUUUCAGUUCCUGAAAUUCCGAAACAAUGGUGUGUAAUAUGAUUCAUCUACUUGGGCUCUCUUCUUUUUCAUCUCUCUAAACCCUAUUUUAUCUGUGAAAUAGAAAAAGAAAAAGAAGACUAUGCAAUUUCAAUUUAAAUUUAUCAGUUUGAGCAUUGAUAGGGCUUCUGAAAUGUUGAAACUGAAACAGCAAAGAAGAGAGAGUCUACCAAUAAGACUUAGGACAAAAUAAGCUCUUUGAGCGUCUUGACUAAUAUUGGCAUGGGAGAUUUCUAUAGAAAUGGACUUGUAGAGAGAAAGAUAUAUGGUUGGGGGCACAAAAGUGUGCGACAACUGUGAACUAACGGUAGGGUUGUGAGCUUUUGGCUUGUUUCAUGCAUCGGAUCUAGGAAGUGUACAACAAUGAAAUGGAAAGCUCUGAUGCACUCAAAGUUACAAAUACAAUAAUUAAUAUUAUAUAUUUAUAACUUAAUCUACUAAUCUAAUAUAAUACUACGUAUAUCAUACAUACAUACAUAUAUAUAUAUAUAACUUUAUACUUAGACUUAGAUAUAUUUUGAUUUAGCCCACCCUAUUGAGAAAUCCUGGAUCCGCCCUUGUUUGCAUUCAUAUUAGAAACCUAAGUAAUAUCACAACACAGAGGAACAAUAUGGAAAAUUAAUUAUAUCUUUCAGUAAAUCAAUGCUGAUUGGUGAAAAAAAAAAUUAAUAUAUUGAGAAAAGCUACCAUAUAUGGACAAGACUUAUUACAACUAUUGGACCAAAUAUAAUAAACCAUAGAGAAAAGAUAAAGCUAAGGAAUUCUGAUAUUUUUCGAGAGAUUUGAUGGAAGGAGUUGGAGGGUAAUAACUUUUAUUUUAUUGAAUUGGGUAGCAUAGUUAAAGUUAGAUAAUGCUUAGCAAAAUUACGGGUGUUAGGCAUUCUCCAACCUAGUACAGCCUAGCAAGUUGGGUCAGGCAUGAGGUUCCUUGGAUUUGGAGCCCUCUGUUGUGGCCUCCUUCGUGUUUAGUCCCCUCAUAUGCUCAUUAUUUGCCAUUUGUGACUUGUCUUGAUAAUUUAUAUUAUAAUUCCGAUAGCCCAUUGGGGUUAAGACUUCUACACUGCUCGUAGAUUUCCCAUCUUCUCCUCACACUUGUUUAAAGCACAAGGUUAGACUGUACAUGUUGCUGAUGAGAUGAUCUAUCUCAUCCAGUUUCUAUAUUCUCUGAAACUUGAGAAGGCAAAACACUCAUUGACUUCUUCUUGUACUCUGUAGGGAGAUUAUUGAUCGUUUUUGGGCUUACUACAACUAGAAAGGAGAUUUACACAAAAAAAAAAAAAUUAAAUCCUUGGGUUUCAAGAAAAUAAAAAGAUUACAAUCAAAUUAAUUUAGUAUUAGUACUCUAUGGUGGCAUUUUGUUUCAACUGCUACUAAAAUAUUGUCAAUGUAAGCCUAUUUGUUGUAGUUCUUGAAUGUAGAAAAGGAACACUUAUCACGGGUGCUGCUGGAAUGCUCAUUUAAUAAACCUUUAUUUUUUUUUGUUCAAUUGAGGUAAUCACUAUGGAAAUAGUUUGGUGGACACCGCCACCAUGUCCAAAGACGGGGCAGUCAAACUCAUUGAACCUGGCUCUACAAGUGGUGGCGACCCCAUCAUUGUAUCAGAUUGUUCAAUGAGUUGCUGAAUGAGUUCCUUCCCAAAUGCAAGACUUGUGAGGAAAUAAGGUAAUAACUUUGACCGUACUAAGCUAUUUAUAAUAGUUUAUAUAUAAUUUGACAUUGUUAAUUUUUUAUUGUGUCUUUUCAGUGAGUUGUUCUAUUUUAUAAAGAACAAUCCGCUGUUUUUUAAUGGUGCUCAAAGGUACUAUUUCACCAAAAAGCUUAAUCGGUUCAAUUGCUGAAAGGAUUAGCCUAGGAAAGGGCUUAACAAAAAUGAAUGAUUGGAGUAGAAAGAUUAAGAAGGAUGAAAUGCUGACAAAGGUAUUCUAUGGCAUUUCACAGAAAAGAAAAAAAAAAAAAAAAAUCUUUGGCACUUCACAGAGAAGAAAACCAGUCAAGCGUAGAAAAUUAAGUCUGGCGUAGAAAAUUAAGGUCUGGAAGACCAAGAGGAGUCAUGAAGUUUCAACGUUGCUCAUUUGAGCACGUUGAAGAUCCAAAUACACCAAAAGAGAAAAAUAUUGAAAAAAUACUUGCGACGGUUGUUCUGCCUUUUAUCCGAUUUCGUACUUAAAACAUUUUAUGAAGUCGUGUGCCAGCAUUAUACGACGUCAACUUCUGAUCAACGGACUGCACUGAAUGAUGAUGAGUUGAGAGAAGACCCUUAUGUCCUGAGGACUCCACAAGCUUGGGGGACCUAUUGAGGGCAAUAAUGCCUUUUCAAUGGUCCCACAGUUCACAGUUCUUGACAUCUUGGCUUUAACUACCACUCGAUCAGGCUGCACCACGAUGGCCUUCUCCUUCUUGACCAGGAGGGAGUAUCCGACAGAGCUGACAUCGUUACAAAUAGGACCGGCAAACAAGUAAGCAUCAACAAAUGCAUAACCACUAGCAUUUGCACAGGCAUUUAUUACUUUCGAAAAUUGGGUGAGGGAUGGCAGGCAAAUUGUAGCUAAUAUUAUAUAUAUUUAUAUAUAUAUAAACAAAUGAAUUACCGGGCAAAAAUUUCUUAUGAAAUAGGAUCACCGCUGAAAAUUGGGUGAGAGAUGACAGGCAGGCUUGCUUUCUUUCAGAGCUGUAGAAAUUGCAGUAUCAAUUUGUUCAUGUUUAUCUUCCAAUUUAUUGAUAACAGCCUAUGUGUAAUAC